AUUGAACGCUGGCGGCAUGCCUUACACAUGCAAGUCGAACGGCAGCACGGGUGCUUGCACCUGGUGGCGAGUGGCGAACGGGUGAGUAAUACAUCGGAACGUACCUUAUCGUGGGGGAUAACGCAGCGAAAGCUGUGCUAAUACCGCAUACGCCCUGAGGGGGAAAGCGGGGGAUCGCAAGACCUCGCGCGAUUAGAGCGGCCGAUGCCAGAUUAGCUUGUUGGUGGGGUAAAAGCCCACCAAGGCGACGAUCAGUAGCUGGUCUGAGAGGACGAUCAUCCACACUGGGACUGGGACACGGCCCAGACUCCUACGGGAGGCAGCAGUGGGGAAGUUUGGACAAUGGGGGCAACCGUGAUCCAGCAAUGCCGCGUGAGUGAAGAAGGCCUUCGGGUUGUAAAGCUCUUUUGUCAGGGAAGAAACACCGGCUCUAACACAGUCCGGGAAUGACGGUACCUGAAGAAUAAGCACCGGCUAACUACGUGCCAGCCGCCGCCGUAA
rnacentral:rRNA from 1 species